CCUACGGGAGGCAGCAGUGGGGAAUAUUGGGCAAUGGAGGAAACUCUGACCCAGCAACGCCGCGUGAAUGAUGAAGGCCUUCGGAUUGUAAAGUUCUUUUCAAAGGGAAGAAGAAAGUGACGGUACCGGAGGGAUAAGCCUCGGCCAACUACGUGCCAGCAGCAGCGGUAAUACGUAGGGGGCAAGCGUUAUGCGGAAUGACGGGGCGUAAAGGGGGCGUCGGGGGGUUGUUAAGGUGGUAGGGUAACUCCGCGGCGCAACCUCGGCACUGCUACCAAAACUGUCGGCCUUGAUUGCAGGAGGGGCAACUGGAAUUCCUGGUGUAGCGGUGUAAUGCGUAGAUAUUAG
rnacentral:rRNA from 1 species